AUACUAUCUAUUAUUUCCCCAUUUCAUUAUAGCGAUCAAAACAUAUCAUUAAUAAAUACAGUAUUUAUAAUUAAGAUUCAGUUUUAAAUCAAAACGGAACAGGUCGAUUUACGUUUUUACGUUAUUUGACGUGUUUAUGUAUAUACGUAAUAAUAAAUGACAAUAUAGAAAAUUUACCCACAAUUAUAAAUUUCACGCUUAUUUAACUAAUUGAAAUGUGCAUUAUGUUUUUUGCAAUCAUUAAUACGCAGUGUAUAAUUUUUUCUUCUAUAUAAAUGAAACAAAACGUUUAAAACUGUUCAAAUUGAGUACAUCUUCUAACAAGUAACGUAGGAAAGUUAUUUACAAUGAUUAAAAUAACCGUCGCCUUUUUGAUUGCCAUAAUGAUAGUAAGUAACGCUCAAAAUGAAGAGAGAAUAGGAAUCCGGGUUUCACCAGGACGCCCUAUUUUGAGGUCGCAACAAUCUCGUAAUGAUGACGAUGAGAGUUUUAUGGCCGUUACAGUAAAACGUGGAGGUGGUGCACAACCUGCUAACUCAUAUGCAUUACCACGAGUUGAACUCAAUUAAAAUAUUUUUUAUUAUUGUAUAAGAGCACAUAUUGUAGCUGAGUAAUACCCAGUAGCUAAUCGUCGAAUAAAGUAAUAUUUCAA